GUCGAACGCCCCCCCAAGGGGAGUGGCAGACGGGGUGAGUAACGCGUGGGAACAUACCCUUUCCUGCGGAAUAGCUCCGGGAAACUGGAAUUAAUACCGCAUACGCCCUACGGGGGAAAGAUUUAUCGGGGAAGGAUUGGCCCGCGUUGGAUUAGCUAGUUGGUGGGGUAAAGGCCUACCAAGGCGACGAUCCAUAGCUGGUCUGAGAGGAUGAUCAGCCACAUUGGGACUGAGACACGGCCCAAACUCCUACGGGAGGCAGCAGUGGGGAAUAUUGGACAAUGGGCGCAAGCCUGAUCCAGCCAUGCCGCGUGAGUGAUGAAGGCCUUAGGGUUGUAAAGCUCUUUCAC
rnacentral:rRNA from 1 species